rnacentral:rRNA from 1 species
GCGACCUACGGGGCGCAGCAGUGAGGAAUAUUGGUCAAUGGGCGAGAGCCUGAACCAGCCAAGUCGCGUGAGGGAUGACUGCCCUAUGGGUUGUAAACCUCUUUUGUAUGGGGGGAAUAAGCUUUACGAGUAGAGUGAUGACAGUACCAUACGAAUAAGCAUCGGCUAACUCCGUGCCAGCAGCCGCGGUAAUACGGAGGAUGCGAGCGUUAUCCGGAUUUAUUGGGUUUAAAGGGUGCGCAGGCGGCGUGUCAAGCAAGCGGUAAAAUAGCGGGGCUCAACCCCGUCGAGCCGUUUGAACUGGC